rnacentral:rRNA from 1 species
CAGAACUCUCAGAAUAAAAUAUACCACGCUUUGAGGUCAGUUGGGGCAAACUAUGGUGUCGCUCGCUGGGAUAAAGCUGAGGAACCGUUCCGUCGGCCGCCAAAGCCAGAGGAGGAGGACCAAGAAUCACGGAGGCUGAAAGAUGCAACACAAACGUGUGUUGUUGCUUCAGUCCUAAUAGCAACUGCCUACAAUGCAACUUUUGCCAUCCCUGGAGGUUACAGAAACGAUGAUCAUAUAAGUGGAGUCACGCCAACAUAUGCUGGGAGUUUUGUUUUUGACGCUUUCAUGAUGGCCACCACAUUAGCUUUUAUAUGCUCUUCACUAGCUACCGUUGGCUUCACGUUUCCUGCAAAUCCAAUGGUUAACUUGGUCACCCGUAAAGUCUACUUAGUCUUAUCUGUGCUUUCCUUCUCGAGCUCAUUCAUAUUCAUGUCGAUUUCAUUUGCACUGGGUGUGUAUAUGGUGCUAGGUCCAUAUGCUCGUAAUACUGCCGUUGCAGUCUGUGUCCUUGCUCCUACCGUAUGGUUAGGUACAUAUAUGGAUGCUAUUUCUAAAUUUGUUAUUCUUGCACAACCAUUAUGCAUUAGAAAGGGGUUAUUCAAAGGAAUGGUAGAAUUACUAAGGAUGUACACGCUCAUAAUGACCACUACACUUUGGCCCAUCAUAGUUACCUUUGGUUGGGCUGCGGUGGCAAGGAUCCACCGUCACCGCUAA